rnacentral:lncRNA from 1 species
AGAGGACAGAACGAAAGGGAAAGAAAGGAGCGAGAUGGCGAGCCAGACGGAGUUCGCAGAACCCUCCGGUGACUGCGGGGAAUUCUCCGCUCUUAACCAUGUGCGGCAAAAAUGCGAGGCUGGGGACGCUUGUCGCCGGGAAGGUGCCUGUCCUAUCUUGGAGCGGUUGGUCCACAUUUUCAGCCUCUGCUCGCUGCCACUUGGGCUCCGGGGGCUAGGGGUUCGGGGGCUACACAGGGCAAAAUGUCACCGAGGACUGCUCUGCUCGGCUCUGGAGCUCCCGGCCCAGGGCGUGUUCCGAACCCCCAGGCCCCUUCUCUCAUCACAGGAAGGGUAAAAGAACACUGUCCCCAGGAUGUCCCUCCAUCUGAGUAGGGUCGCCCAACUCGCGACCUGCCCCGCCCCCUAGGAGGCAGCACUCUGGGGUGGGGCGGGGUUGGGUGGGGGAAUCCAGCGACCCCGGCAGGGGAGCUGCUGCAGACUCACAAAGUGACUACCUGGGCGCCAGGUCGGAUCCUCCGCCUAGGCCCCCACCCUGCCCGAACUCGAACCAGGCUCCUCGCCUCCGGGGUGGGGGCGAUUCACGGUUUGUUUUACAAAUUCGCCCCCGGACUUCAGGCGAGAUAAGUGCCCGCCCGGGUGGAGAAAGAACCGCGGCAUCGAGAGAUAAGCGCGAUGCCUGGGGAAGAUACUAGACUGGCGCACCUCCCCCCAGGCAACUCGCCCACCCCUCGCCGGCAGCGCCGGGGGCAGCGGCCUGGAGGGGGCAGGCCCAGAAUCCGCCCAGUCUCGGCGCUCACUGCGCGGCUCUGCACACUCCCUCUGCACCCCGCUCCCCUGCCUGCCCCCCCCCCCCCCGUGGAACACAACACGGGACUCGCGUGCAAAAUGGCUAGCAAAUGCAUUUCCAAAAAAACCAAACGAGAGUCUGUCUCCCGGAGUGCGCGCAGAGACAGGGCCAGCCACGCAGGCUGUCACUCGACCUGUGAAAACCACGCCUAUGCAGCGACACAAUUGGUCCGAAAGCGUCAAAGAGCCAAUCAAGAGGCCUCCGGCUCCCCGCGGCCCACCGCGCAGCCCCAGCUUCUAGAGCCGCGGAGCAGACGCCCCGGGGAGUUCGGAGGCCGAGCAGGGAGGCGCGGAGCUCCGCUCGCUCUCUCGCGCGCCCUCCCUCUCCUCGCCGGCUCGCCGCGCGCUCUCUCUCUCUCUCUCUCUCUCUUUCCUCUCUCUCUCUCUUCUCUCUCUCGCCCCCUCCUCUCCGUAUUCCUCGCUGAAUCCCGCCUAGCCUGCGCGCCUGGACGCAGAUUUAGGAAGCGAAUUCGCUCACGUUGUAGGACGAGGAAGCGAGAGAGGCCCGGCCGAAAAAGUACGGCAAGACCGGGACUGAACCCGAGACAGCCUGCGGAGGCGCUCAGCGGAGGAGCAGGAGGGCGAGCCGCAGCCUGGGCGCAGCUCGAAUUCGGACGGCGCUGCUAG